rnacentral:pre_miRNA from 1 species
GGCAUGGAGUCCUGUGGCAUCCACGAAACUACCUUCAACUCCAUCGUGAAGUGUGACGUGGACAUCCGUAAAGACCUGUAGGCC